rnacentral:lncRNA from 1 species
AUUUAUCAAUAUUCUAUUUGUAAAUUUACAACACAAGAUGAGGGAAAAUCAUUAAUAAUGUAAUUUUCCUUUUUCCUUUUUUACAAAAUGCUAAUGUAUCAAGUAUUUUAUUGUAACCCAGAAAUCUACCAAAAAUUAAGACGUUAUUGUAUUUAAUGUUGUUUUAAGAGAACACCAGGAUUAAAAGUGAUGAACUUGGGCUGGAGGAUAUUUCAUUGGAUAAAGAACUUGGCACACAAAAUAAUGACUUGAUUGUGGAUUGCCAGAAUUCAUGUAAAGCAAGACACUAUAGUGCCAGUCUCUAACUCAGCAAUCCCAAGAGGAGAUGGGAUAAAGAAACGCAAGACAUUCCACAAGCUCAUAGGCCAGCUACCGAAGCACAUGCAAGAGACCCUCUCAGACAAGAUGCAAGUGAGGACAAGCACUGAGUUUGUCAUCUGCUCUCCACAUGUGUGCUGUGGCUCACAAGGCAUACAGAGACUCUACAAACAAACACACACAUGCACGCAUAUGCAUGUUCUCAAAGAGAGACAGAGACUGAGAAAAAGAGACCAAGAGACAGAGGAAGAGAGAGAAAGUGGUAAACUGGUUUAUUCAAAGCAUCAGAAAACAAGGAAAUCCCCACAUCUCUGGGAACUAAUUUCAUUCCAGGUGACCUGAGCAUCAAGAGAUACAACAGUAAAAUUAGAGAUCUGACUGUGCUGGGCCUGAGAUGUCUGAUAGCCACAGAAAGUAAACUGGAAGGACCCCCUGCUACCCCCCAGAUAACCAAUAGUUCCUCAUUUCUUCUUCAGGUAUGCAGACACAUAUUCCAUGAUGGUUUUGUUUGUAAAUGUCAAAAGGAUGGUGGUUUUUUUGUAAUUAAUACAUGUUUAAAGAUUAUCCUUCAAAAGUAAAAAUUUUUAAACAGCAAAAUAGUGGUAUCCAAUAUUAAAAUUAGAGUGAUUUUUUAUUAUUUUUUAUUUUAAAACAGUCUUUUCUCUUUAAGACAAGGCUGGAGAAACCCACAGAAACAGCUGACCUGAACAAGGGGGAGCUCAUGGACCCCAGAAUGAUCACUGGGAAACCAGCAUAGGAACGACUCAGACCCUCUGAUCCUGGAUGUCAGUUAGGAGACCUGGGAAAUCUAUAAGCUCUGAAAGUAGAUUAGUAUUUAUCCCUAGUAUAGGAAUGGAUUU